UACAGCCACAUCACGUUGAAACACAGGCUUCCGUAAGAUCAUCGAAGUUAAGUAACGUCGCGCCAGGUCAGUACCUUAAUGGGUGACUGCUUGGAUGUGCAAGUG